CCCAGGCAAUAAUUCCAUACUUUAUCAGCGAUUGGCAUAGAGCAUUAUAUAUCUGCAUUAGCCUUUCUAUUUCCAAAUACUUUUUAAGAUGUCUAUCGAUGGUAAUGCCGAGAUACUUGAUGGAGUCAGUUUCGGGUAUAAUUGUGCAAUCGUUGACUUUCAGAGGACCCAAGUUCGGAAGACCUGACUCAUAGGAAGUAAACGGUUUGGAUCUACCGCAGAGGUUAUCCACGUAAGACCAAAGUGAUUUUGUUGCUGAAGUGUAUUUCGUGACAAAGGUGUUCAUGUAAUCUCUUUUAGCAUUCCUGAUCAACUUGUGUAAAAUAUUUCUGUAUCUUGUAUAUUGUUGUUUCAACUCAGUAUUGUAUUGAUAUUUCAUCAUUUCCUUGUAUAAAUAGUUUUUUCUGUUUAUGGCUUUUAGUAAUCCCUGAGUGAUCCAGUUGCUUCUCCCAGAUUUCCUAUGGCUCAACUCAAUUUUUGUUGUAUGUUUCUGUGUGUAAUGUUUUAAUAAAUCAAUAAACAAUUCUGCGAAUGAG